GGUUUCACAAGGUGCUGUCUGUGGAGUCGAUGGCUGUCACAUUGCUGAUAAUCAUGAUCAUAAUCACCAUCCUUAUGUGUGCUUUUGCAAUUCAGGUUACCAGCACAACUACCGGUUUUGUUCCUGCGAAGAUACUGACCCCCCAGAAGAUUAUCAGCGAGAACAGCGACUUGCAUUUAACCUGCAGCACAUUUAGGUUAAAGGAUAACAUCAUGGUUCAUGUUUAUUUAUGUCACAAUGACAUAUGGAUUGACCAAAAGAAGCAGAAGAAUGAUCAUUAUGAUAGCCUUUUCAUCAUACCCAUAGCUAGCCUUAAUGACAGUGGAAACUACAGUUGUGUUUUCUCAAGAGAGAAUGAUUUACUUCCUAAAGAACCAAUGAAAGGACUCAACGUGAUUCAGAUUGUGGUCAUAGCCAUUUAUCUCCCUGCAGAUAUUUCAAUAGCUGGACGUUCGGCUGUCAAGGAGGGGGGCGAUGUCACAUUUCGAUGUUCUGUCUCUGACACCCUGCAAACACUCGGUGAUUGUCAAUUCAUCCACUCCCACCUGAGGAGGAAUGAGACACUCGUCCAAGUACAACCGUUCAGCGUUAAACGGAUGGAGGCCACUUUCACCAUCCGAGGCGCCGUCAGUAAGGAUACGGGCAACUACAGCUGCGUGGUGCUGCCAUCCAAAUGCGUUCCAGAGCAGGAGGAAACACGCCAUGGAAAUAACGCAGUGAUGCUCGUGGUGAAAGAAAGUUUGGUCCUCCGAGUGAUGGUCUCUUGUGGAGUAGUAGCCCUGAUGUCACUAGUGGGUUUGUGUCUGUGGUUGAUCAACAAACAAAGUCAGAUCAUCGCAGAGAAAUCAAAAGUGGCCUUCUCAGCUUCAUUCAAUGCGGCGAGUAGGCACUCACAUGCAGACAUGUCUGAGGAGCAGAACGACAUGGAAUCACAGGACGUUAUCAGAAUGUUGUGAAUGCUGCAGUCUCAAUUAAUUUUGACGAUUGUGAGGGACUGUACAGUGCUGCUGAUGAGUCAUCCGGUGCUGCUGUGUAUUCAAUGCCCACCAGAGGAAGCCCAUGACCAGAUCCAGUGCUGACCUGAUUGUAUUCAACUCAGUGGCGCAACUGGAACACCUGUUUUAUUCAGCCUCGGUGUCUGCUGAGUUCAAUGACCUUAUCUGAUAAGGAAGCCACUCCAGCAACAGUAGAAGCUGUUUUAGCAGCGUACAAGCAGUGACGAACAUCCAACGUUUUUCUGAUGACUGCUUUUGUCAUUACUGCUGCAACUUGAUGGAAGGAAUGGAGUUACCACUUUGUAAUUAAAAUGAGGGAACAGCAGUUAGCAUGGCUGCAAAUAGAUAUGUAAAUAACUUAUGUGAAGAUAGUGGAUUUAAUUUUGAGCCGUGGUGACUGUCUUUUGCUGGAAUUUUAUAUUUUGAACAUUGAAACCCUUCGUUUCAAUAGUGAUGUUACUUGGAUCCCUCCUGCCAUAUUCAAGUGAUCAUGCAUGAUAGACUUACUUACUUACUUCCCCUUCGACUACCAAAACUGCACGAUGAAGUUCGGCUCAUGGACCUACGACAAGGCCAAAAAACCCUGACGCGCCGCCAGCGGCUUUUCAACAACGCGCAGCUCUCCGACCUCAAUAACUUAAGUGGAGACCCGGCCAAAGGUGCCGGCUCAGCGCUCCUGUCCUGCGAGGCCCACUGCGACUGCUGCUGGCGCCAGAGAUCCGGCAAACUGCCGGCAGACUCGGGGGAGGGCAGCGGGGCACUGGGCAGCCUGGGGGCGCUGAGCGGGGGCAGUGCCGUCGGGGUCGGCGGGGGGAGUCAGUGCUCCAGCGCCGAGUCCGUGGCGGCAGGGACAAUGUCCGUGUUGCCGCUGUCCCCCGCGGUCCAGGAGGCCAUCGAAAGUGUCAAGUACAUAGCAGAGAAUAUGAGACUCCAGAAUGAGGCAAAGGAGGUUCAGGAUGACUGGAAGUACGUUGCCAUGGUUAUCGACAGAAUCUUCCUCUGGGUCUUUGUCCUUGUGUGCAUCCUGGGAACAGCUGGCCUCUUCCUCCGGCCUUUAUUACUUUGGGAUGACGUCUAAAUAAGUUUGAUAAAGCAAAUAAUUCAAUAUUACUCAGUGCACAGCAGUUAUUAUUCAUAAGACUCGACACAGAGAGAGGAAAUACUGAUCUGAUUCAAAGUCACGGAGGAAACGUUUAGAUGAAUGUUUUUGAUAGAUAUUCUUUUUGUUUGAAGAACUGGUUAAGAGCUCCCCAAUGCAGAGGACACUGUUAAAUGAUGUCAAAGACAACAGAGUCAUUUAAUUGUUUUCAAACUAGUUUUGCAGCAAUGUUUUGUAGUGAUCGACAAUGCUGGGAAAUAAAUAAAUAGUGAAUUGUUCUCAUUUUCUCCGCUUUAGGCAACAUUUAAAUUCUGUAAGUGUGAAAGACAACAGCAACCAUUUGUUGGAGAGGCAGUAAUCAACUCAAAUCGUCAUCACCUGCUGGUCAGCAACUUUGUGUGCGGCUGUUGAGAUGUUUGUUUCUUUGUCUGGACGUCUGCACACUUGUCCCCUUUUAUGAAAAUAAUCAUUAUUGCCGAGGACAUACUGUUGUAGUGUCAAUCAUUUCAAGGGGUAACCAAUUAGAUUGUGUGAUCUUGAAGCACAAUUCAAUUUCAAAUUAAUUAUGAGGGUAUGUAUUUUCUCAAAUGCAACCACUGUGUCACCAGGAAGCUCGGGAAUUUCUUCUUUAAAUGUCAAAUCCAGAUUUGGCAUUGAUUUAACAUUUCUUUUCAUGUUUCAUGGACUGUGUUCAAAGAGUGCCACCAUGUGGCAAUGAUUCGGUACUACAAUCACAUGUAGCUCAUUUUGACAUUGUCUUUGUUGUCACACAUUCCCAGUGGAAAAAUAUUAUGUUCUAUUCCAUUGUUUUUACUUUCGAAAAUUGGAUAGGUAUAAUUUCUUUAAAAUAAAAUAGAAAAGCAUGUACAAACACAUUUUAGUUCUGUCUAAACCAAGUACUUCUGUA